UGGGGAAUAUUGGACAAUGGGCGCAAGCCUGAUCCAGCCAUGCCGCGUGAGUGACGAAGGCCCUAGGGUUGUAAAGCUCUUUCAGUGGUGACGAUGAUGACGGUAGCCACAGAAGAAGCCCCGGCUAACUCCGUGCCAGCAGCCGCGGUAAUACGGAGGGGGCAAGCGUUGUUCGGAAUUACUGGGCGUAAAGGGCGCGUAGGCGGUCUGUUGCGUCAGGUGUGAAAGCCCCGGGCUCAACCUGGGAGGUGCACUUGAUACGGGCGGACUGGAAUCCGGGAGAGGAUGGUGGAAUUCCCAGUGUAGAGGUGAAAUGCGUAGAUAUUAGAAGGAACACCAGUGGCGAAGGCGACUGUCUGGGCUGAUACUGACGCUGAGGUGCGAAAGCGUGGGGAGCAAACAGGAUUAGAUACCCCCGUAGUCC
rnacentral:rRNA from 1 species